CCGCAGCAGGUCUCCAAGGUAAAGAGCCUCUAGUCGAUAGACUAAUGUAGGUAAGGGAUGUCGGCAAAUUGGAUCCGUAACUUCGGAAUAAGGAUUGGUUCUCAGGAGCGGGGCGUGUCGGGCAUGUCGGGAAGUGGGUCUGGCUGACGUGCCGUGCCUGGGCGAGGUGAACGCUCGCGUGUUCUCGCGCCGGUUCCGGGAUCCGAGCUCGGUCCCGUGCCUCGGCCACCCGUGGAUCUUCCUUGCUGCGAGGCUUCCG
rnacentral:ncRNA from 1 species